UCCGGUGGUCAUAGCGGAGAGGUCCCACCCGAUUCCAUUCCGAACUCGGAAGUUAAGCUCUCCAGCGCCGAUGGUACUUGAUGGGAGACCGUCUGGGAGAGUAGGACGCUGCCGGAA
rnacentral:rRNA from 1 species